AAUGGGCGAAAGCCUGAUCCAGCGACGCCGCGUGAGUGAUGAAGGCCUUCGGGUUGUAAAGCUCUGUGGGGAGAGACGAAAAGGUGUUCAGAAACGGGGCACCCUUGACGGUAUCUCCUUAGCAAGCACCGGCUAACUCUGUGCCAGCAGCCGCGGUAAGACAGAGGGUGCAAACGUUGCUCGGAAUCACUGGGCGUAAAGCGCGUGUAGGCGGAUGGCCAAGUCAGAUGUGAAAGCCCUGGGCUCAACCUAGGAACUGCAUCUGAAACUGGUCGUCUGGAGUGCUGGAGAGGGAAGCGGAAUUCCUGGUGUAGAGGUGAAAUUCGUAGAUAUCAGGAGGAACACCUGUGGCGAAGGCGGCUUCCUGGACAGUUACUGACGCUGAGACGCGAAAGCGUGGGGAGCAAACAGGAUU
rnacentral:rRNA from 1 species